UUGAACGCUGGCGGCAGGCUUAACACAUGCAAGUCGAGCGGGGAAGGGUAGCUUGCUACCUGACCUAGCGGCGGACGGGUGAGUAAUGCUUAGGAAUCUGCCUAUUAGUGGGGGACAACAUCUCGAGAGGGAUGCUAAUACCGCAUACGUCCUACGGGAGAAAGCAGGGGACCUUCGGGCCUUGCGCUAAUAGAUGAGCCUAAGUCGGAUUAGCUAGUUGGUGGGGUAAAGGCCUACCAAGGCGACGAUCUGUAGCGGGUCUGAGAGGAUGAUCCGCCACACUGGGACUGAGACACGGCCCAGACUCCUACGGGAGGCAGCAGGGGGGAAUAUUGGACAAUGGGGGGAACCCUGAUCCAGCCAUGCCGCGUGUGUGAAGAAGGCCUUUUGGUUGUAAAGCACGUUAAGCGAGGAGGAGGCUACCGAGAUUAAUACUCUUGGAUAGUGGACGUUACUCGCAGAAUAAGCACCGGCUAACUCUGUG
rnacentral:rRNA from 1 species